rnacentral:misc_RNA from 1 species
GGACUUGAUAUUGGAUGGGGCCAGGUAAUAUUUCUGUAUGAACUCAUCUCUGUGUACUUUAAAAUAGUAUUUAGAAUGGGGUUAUGAUAACUACUGAUAAAAUAUGGACAGCACAGUCUGUUUUGACUUGAGAGAUGCUAGCACAUCACUACUUCAUGAACACAAAAUGUCAUAUGGGUUUCCAUAUAAAUACACCUGGUGUCCUAUAGUCACAUUUCUUGUGUGUGUGUGUGUGUAUGCGUGCAUGUGCACACUUUCUUAUUUGAUCUCUAUGUAUGUUUAUAUACGUUUGAUAUAUUAUAACUUACGAACAUGAUAUAAGGUGAAUGCUACUUUAAAAUACAUCCUGCAUGCUUUACAAAUGCUCCUUAAAAGAAAACCUGUAAUUCCCCAUGUUCAAGCAAGUGGUAAAGUUGCUUCAGUUCAAAGGAAGAAAAAAAAAAUUGAUUGCUUUCUGUCUAACUAGUUGGAAAUAUAAUUCAUGAAUGGUAGUGCCGGAGAAGAUGUCUUGGGCUGGUUUCUUGGCAGUGCCCAUGCAUUAUGAAUUUGCAUGUGGGCAUGAAAUAAUGUAAAGGCACACUUUGCAUUUUCACUUUCCUUUGAUAAAUAAGCAGUUAAGCACACAUAAGAGGCCAUUAGAUUUAUAUUACAGCUGUUAAUUGAAUGUAUAAUAUAAAACAUGGACCUUAGAAAUAUGUGAUUUUCAUGAAUCAAGAAAACUUUUCCUCAAGCUAACCCUUUAUGGGCUAUGGCUGAUGGACAUUUUAUUUAGAAGCAUGGCACCUGAAGUUAUUUUCAACCUUAGCUUAGUGGAUGCUUAUAAAAAAAAAU